rnacentral:rRNA from 1 species
UUAAGCGACUAAGCGUACACGGUGGAUGCCCUGGCAGUCAGAGGCGAUGAAGGACGUGCUAAUCUGCGAUAAGCGUCGGUAAGGUGAUAUGAACCGUUAUAACCGGCGAUUUCCGAAUGGGGAAACCCAGUGUGAUUCGUCACACUAUCAUUAACUGAAUCCAUAGGUUAAUGAGGCGAACCGGGGGAACUGAAACAUCUAAGUACCCCGAGGAAAAGAAAUCAACCGAGAUUCCCCCAGUAGCGGCGAGCGAACGGGGAGCAGCCCAGAGCCUGAAUCAGUGUGUGUGUUAGUGGAAGCGUCUGGAAAGGCGCGCGAUACAGGGUGACAGCCCCGUACACAAAAAUGCACAUACUGUGAGCUCGAUGAGUAGGGCGGGACACGUGGUAUCCUGUCUGAAUAUGGGGGGACCAUCCUCCAAGGCUAAAUACUCCUGACUGACCGAUAGUGAACCAGUACCGUGAGGGAAAGGCGAAAAGAACCCCGGCGAGGGGAGUGAAAAAGAACCUGAAACCGUGUACGUACAAGCAGUGGGAGCACGCUUAGGCGUGUGACUGCGUACCUUUUGUAUAAUGGGUCAGCGACUUAUAUUCUGUAGCAAGGUUAACCGAAUAGGGGAGCCGAAGGGAAACCGAGUCUUAACUGGGCGUUAAGUUGCAGGGUAUAGACCCGAAACCCGGUGAUCUAGCCAUGGGCAGGUUGAAGGUUGGGUAACACUAACUGGAGGACCGAACCGACUAAUGUUGAAAAAUUAGCGGAUGACUUGUGGCUGGGGGUGAAAGGCCAAUCAAACCGGGAGAUAGCUGGUUCUCCCCGAAAGCUAUUUAGGUAGCGCCUCGUGAAUUCAUCUCCGGGGGUAGAGCACUGUUUCGGCAAGGGGGUCAUCCCGACUUACCAACCCGAUGCAAACUGCGAAUACCGGAGAAUGUUAUCACGGGAGACACACGGCGGGUGCUAACGUCCGUCGUGAAGAGGGAAACAACCCAGACCGCCAGCUAAGGUCCCAAAGUCAUGGUUAAGUGGGAAACGAUGUGGGAAGGCCCAGACAGCCAGGAUGUUGGCUUAGAAGCAGCCAUCAUUUAAAGAAAGCGUAAUAGCUCACUGGUCGAGUCGGCCUGCGCGGAAGAUGUAACGGGGCUAAACCAUGCACCGAAGCUGCGGCAGCGACGCUUAUGCGUUGUUGGGUAGGGGAGCGUUCUGUAAGCCUGUGAAGGUGUACUGUGAGGUAUGCUGGAGGUAUCAGAAGUGCGAAUGCUGACAUAAGUAACGAUAAAGCGGGUGAAAAGCCCGCUCGCCGGAAGACCAAGGGUUCCUGUCCAACGUUAAUCGGGGCAGGGUGAGUCGACCCCUAAGGCGAGGCCGAAAGGCGUAGUCGAUGGGAAACAGGUUAAUAUUCCUGUACUUGGUGUUACUGCGAAGGGGGGACGGAGAAGGCUAUGUUGGCCGGGCGACGGUUGUCCCGGUUUAAGCGUGUAGGCUGGUUUUCCAGGCAAAUCCGGAAAAUCAAGGCUGAGGCGUGAUGACGAGGCACUACGGUGCUGAAGCAACAAAUGCCCUGCUUCCAGGAAAAGCCUCUAAGCAUCAGGUAACAUCAAAUCGUACCCCAAACCGACACAGGUGGUCAGGUAGAGAAUACCAAGGCGCUUGAGAGAACUCGGGUGAAGGAACUAGGCAAAAUGGUGCCGUAACUUCGGGAGAAGGCACGCUGAUAUGUAGGUGAAGUCCCUCGCGGAUGGAGCUGAAAUCAGUCGAAGAUACCAGCUGGCUGCAACUGUUUAUUAAAAACACAGCACUGUGCAAACACGAAAGUGGACGUAUACGGUGUGACGCCUGCCCGGUGCCGGAAGGUUAAUUGAUGGGGUUAGCGCAAGCGAAGCUCUUGAUCGAAGCCCCGGUAAACGGCGGCCGUAACUAUAACGGUCCUAAGGUAGCGAAAUUCCUUGUCGGGUAAGUUCCGACCUGCACGAAUGGCGUAAUGAUGGCCAGGCUGUCUCCACCCGAGACUCAGUGAAAUUGAACUCGCUGUGAAGAUGCAGUGUACCCGCGGCAAGACGGAAAGACCCCGUGAACCUUUACUAUAGCUUGACACUGAACAUUGAGCCUUGAUGUGUAGGAUAGGUGGGAGGCUUUGAAGUGUGGACGCCAGUCUGCAUGGAGCCGACCUUGAAAUACCACCCUUUAAUGUUUGAUGUUCUAACGUUGACCCGUAAUCCGGGUUGCGGACAGUGUCUGGUGGGUAGUUUGACUGGGGCGGUCUCCUCCUAAAGAGUAACGGAGGAGCACGAAGGUUGGCUAAUCCUGGUCGGACAUCAGGAGGUUAGUGCAAUGGCAUAAGCCAGCUUGACUGCGAGCGUGACGGCGCGAGCAGGUGCGAAAGCAGGUCAUAGUGAUCCGGUGGUUCUGAAUGGAAGGGCCAUCGCUCAACGGAUAAAAGGUACUCCGGGGAUAACAGGCUGAUACCGCCCAAGAGUUCAUAUCGACGGCGGUGUUUGGCACCUCGAUGUCGGCUCAUCACAUCCUGGGGCUGAAGUAGGUCCCAAGGGUAUGGCUGUUCGCCAUUUAAAGUGGUACGCGAGCUGGGUUUAGAACGUCGUGAGACAGUUCGGUCCCUAUCUGCCGUGGGCGCUGGAGAACUGAGGGGGGCUGCUCCUAGUACGAGAGGACCGGAGUGGACGCAUCACUGGUGUUCGGGUUGUCAUGCCAAUGGCACUGCCCGGUAGCUAAAUGCGGAAGAGAUAAGUGCUGAAAGCAUCUAAGCACGAAACUUGCCCCGAGAUGAGUUCUCCCUGA